UAGCUAGCCAGCCACAAAACUCAGAUGCAAAAGGCAAUGCCAGUGCCGGAUGAUCUCAUCUGCACAUGCACAUCAAUGGAAACAAGGCAAGCCAAGUACAAAAUAAAUAAGCAACAGUACGAGCCACAAUUGCCUGAGCUUUGUAUCCACAGAAACAAAGUAAAACGUAUGCAUUUGAUUUGAUGUGAUUAAAACCAGGUAAAAUGCCAAGUCACUACUUGAAGAUGCAAGAUCAUCUAGAGUAUAUAUCUGUCUUGUUCAAACCAAAACCAAGCUAUUGCUUUAUGAUUUCCUGAGUGCUAAUAAACCAUCUUCGUUUGCUUCAACUCCCAUUUAGAAAAAAAUGAAACUAUACAACGAUUUUGAAUGUUCUGGUUUGACCUAUAUUAUCCUGGCAUCUUAUUCCAUUGACAUGAAAGAUGUACUUAUCAAGUGCAAUUACUGGAGUAACAAAGUAACGGUUUAGUAUGCAAGCAUGCAAGAUUAUAUUACCGGAGGAUCAGCACAAUCGGAAUGAGAAGAACAAUCCGGGUCUUCAGUUUGGACAUCAGACAAUGGAGCCCUGUAACAUUAGAACUAGUUACAAGCUACAACAGAUGAACUAUCCCAGUCAUGAGUUAGGACUUCAGAUGGUGGAUCUAUCAUUUAAAAUUAAGAGUGUCACAAUGUCUGGAUAAACUUACUUAGUGACUUCUUCAAAAUCAGAAGUUUGUAUAUAUAAAAAAACCAAAUUGAAUAAAGACAUACGCAUUAAUUUGAUCA